ACUUCAACCAUAGACAUUCUCUACAUUUUAGACAUUUAGCAGAUGCUCUUAUUCAGAGCAAAUUACAGGAGCAAUUAGAGUUAAGUGUAGAAUAAUAGCUUUUCCUUCACUCUGCCGCCCAACUCAUCCCAAACCAUCUCAAUUGGGUUGAGGUCGGGUGAUUGUGGAGGCCAGGUCAUCUGAUGCAGCACUUCAUCACUCUCUGUCUUGGUCAAAUAGCCCUUACACAGCCUGGAGGUUUGUUGGGUCAUUGUCCUGUUGAAAAACAAAUGAUAGUCCCACUAAGCGCAAACCAGAUGGGAUGGCAUAUCGCUGCAGAAUGCUGUGGUAGCCAUGCUGGUUAAGUGUGCCUUGAAUUCUAAAUAAAUGACUGACAGUGUCAUCAGCAAAGCACUAUCUCAUCUCCUCCUCCAUGCUUCACGGUGGAAACCACAUGUGGAUAUCAUCCAUUCACCUACUCUGCGUCUCACAAAGACACAGAGGUUGGAACCAAAAAUCUCAAAUUUUGACUCAUCACAUCAAUAGACAGAUUUCCUCUGGUCUAAUGCCUGUUGCUAGUGUUUCUUGGCCCUAGCAAGUCUCUUCUUAUUAUUGUUGUCCUUUAAUAGUGGUUUCUUUGCAGCAAUUCAACCAUGAAGGCCUGAUUCACGCAGUCUCCUCUGAAAAGUUGAUGUUGAGAUGUGCCUGUUACUUGAACUCUGUGAAGCAUUUAUUUGGGCUGCAAUUUCUGAGGUGCAGUUAACUCUAACGAAUGUAUCCUUUGCAGCAGAGGUAACUCUGGGUCUUCCUUUCCUGUGGUGGUCCUCAUGAGAGCCAGUUUCAUCAUAGCGCUUGGUGAUUUUUGCGACUGCACUUGAAGAAACUUUCAAAGUUCUUGAAAUGUUCCGUAUUGACUGACCUUCAUGUCAUAAGUCGCUCUGGAUAAGAGCGUCUGCUAAAUGACUUAAAUGUAAAUGUAAAUAAAGUAAUGAUGGGCAGUCGUUUUCCUUUGCUUAUUUGAGCUGUUCUUGUCAUAAUAUGGACUUGGUCUUUUACCAAAUAAGGCUAUCAUCUAUAUACCACCCCUACCUUGCACAACACAACUGAUUGGCUCAAACGCAUUAAGAAGGAAAGAAAUUCCAUGAACUUUUAACAAGGCACACCUGUUAAUUGUAAAGCGUUCCACAUGACUAUCUCAUGAAGCUGGUUGAGAGAAUGCCAAGAGUGUGCAAAGCUGUCAUCAAGUCAAAGGGUGGCUAAUUGGAACACUUGUUUGGUUACUACAUGAUUCCAUUAACUCGGUCUACCCACUCCAAUGAGGGUUUGCUUCUAGGCUGGAAGCUGUGGGUAGCAGUGGGAGCAGCAAGUGCCAUACUGGUUUCACUGCUAGUGGUCAUCUGGAUCCUACUACAACGAAGGAGAAGCAAAAUACAAAGAGAGAAUCCUAUCUAUACCAAUAUGCCUGCAAUAAAACAACCCUCUCCGCGUCCAGGACUACAGAUGGACAAACAGAAGAUUUCUCCCACUUUAAAAUAUAUCAGGACCCCAACUCCAGCCAGAACCCACGACAACAAACACAUCAGGAUCCCAACUCCAGCCAGAAUCCAUGACAACAAACACAUCAGGAUCCCAAUUCCACACAGGGCAAAUGACAACAAACCCCUCACCGAGACCCCGAAUCCACCUAGAGCCCAUGAUGGCAAACAUCUUCCAACUCCUGCCAGGGCACAUGACCUCAGGACCCCAACUCCACCCAGGGCCCAUGACAGCAAAUAAAACUUAAAACCUUGACUUUUUAUGAUUCAUAUUUCCUAUCCUGAAUCUUCCAACAAAUCAAACUAUCUCAGCAAGUAAUUUAAUCCUGUAAGUGUAGUGCAACUCUGUCCUAUCUUACAGAGCCAUCACUUCAGUAUUGUUUUUGGUUGCUGUUAAUUAAUUUUCCAGCAGAUGGCAUGCUAUGGUAGCCUACUAAAUUAGGAUACAUUAUAGUUGUCUAAAUAUUAUUCUCAGGGUCAUUUAAAAAGUUACCCCAGUUCAGUAAAGCAUCAUUUAGUAAUAAGGAAAAUAAGUGCUAUUUUCUGGAAGGUAAUUUGUAUAGGUAGCCUUUGUAAAAAAGACUUUGAGCAACACAUAUUGGGCUUGAAACACAUCUAUCGCUGUUUAUAGUGCAUUCAUAAAAUUCCAUAUUUCAAUCUUUUCUUGUAAUGGUAGCACAAAAAUUGUGAACCAAUAAAGUAUGUGACUGGCAA